rnacentral:rRNA from 1 species
GACGAACGCUGGCGGCGUGCCUAAUACAUGCAAGUCGAGCGGACGGAUGGGAGCUUGCUCCCAGACCGUCAGCGGCGGACGGGUGAGUAACACGUGGGCAACCUGCCUGUAAGACUGGGAUAACUCCGGGAAACCGGGGCUAAUACCGGAUAACUCUUUCCCUCACAUGAGGGAAAGCUGAAAGAUGGCAUCUCGCUAUCACUUACAGAUGGGCCCGCGGCGCAUUAGCUAGUUGGUGAGGUAACGGCUCACCAAGGCGACGAUGCGUAGCCGACCUGAGAGGGUGAUCGGCCACACUGGGAAUGAGACACGGCCCAGACUCCUACGGGAGGCAGCAGUAGGGAAUCUUCCGCAAUGGACGAAAGUCUGACGGAGCAACGCCGCGUGAGUGAUGAAGGUUUUCGGAUCGUAAAACUCUGUUGUCAGGGAAGAACAAGUACCGGAGUAACUGCCGGUACCUUGACGGUACCUGACCAGAAAGCCACGGCUAACUACGUG